rnacentral:rRNA from 1 species
GACGAACGCUGGCGGCGUGCCUAAUACAUGCAAGUCGAGCGGAAGUUGGAGAGCUUGCUCUUCAACUUUAGCGGCGGACGGGUGAGUAACACGUGGGCAACCUGCCCUGCAGAUCGGGAUAACUCCGGGAAACCGGUGCUAAUACCGAAUAGUUUUCGCCACCUCCUGGUGGCGUACGGAAAGACGGUUUCGACUGUCACUGCAGGAUGGGCCCGCGGCGCAUUAGCUAGUUGGUGGGGUAACGGCCCACCAAGGCGACGAUGCGUAGCCGACCUGAGAGGGUGAUCGGCCACACUGGGACUGAGACACGGCCCAGACUCCUACGGGAGGCAGCAGUAGGGAAUCUUCCGCAAUGGACGAAAGUCUGACGGAGCAACGCCGCGUGGGUGACGAAGGUUUUCGGAUCGUAAAACUCUGUUGUGAGGGAAGAACAAGUACCAACUAACUACUGGUACCUUGACGGUACCUCACCAGAAAGCCACGGCUAACUACGUGCCAGCCGCCGCAGUAA